UACGUAGGGUGCAAGCGUUGUCCGGAAUUAUUGGGCGUAAAGAGCUCGUAGGCGGCUUGUCGCGUCUGCUGUGAAAACCCGAGGCUCAACCUCGGGCCUGCAGUGGGUACGGGCAGACUAGAGUGCGGUAGGGGAGAAUGGAAUUCCCGGUGUAGCGGUGAAAUGCGCAGAUAUCGGGAGGAACACCAGUGGCGAAGGCGGUUCUCUGGGCCUGUACUGACGCUGAGGUGCGAAAGCGUGGGGAGCAAACAGG
rnacentral:rRNA from 1 species